AGUAGGGAAUCUUCCACAAUGGACGAAAGUCUGAUGGAGCAACGCCGCGUGAGNGAAGAAGGUUUUCGGAUCGUAAAGCUCUGUUGUUGGUGAAGAAGGAUAGAGGUAGUAACUGGCCUUUAUUUGACGGUAAUCAACCAGAAAGUCACGGCUAACUACGUGCC
rnacentral:rRNA from 1 species